UGGUGGAAUCUAGGAUCUAAUCAGGUU
rnacentral:piRNA from 1 species